AGCAUGUUUAUGAGAGCAUGUUUAUGUAUAAGUGUAUAACAUAUUGUAAGAAUUUGUUAUACAUUAUAAUUCACAUCAAAUACAUAAUUCAUAUUGAUUUACAAAAUAAUUUUGCAUUGAAUGUAAAUUGAUCUGGCAGUACCUUUCUAUAACUAGAAGUCGGGGCUGAUGACUGGUGGCUAGAGACACGUCAUAGAUUGGAGGCUGUAGGUGAGGAGAUCACUUGGGUCGUAUUCCGUAGAGAGUUCUUGAUGAAGUAUUAUUCUAAGGAUGUUCGAGGGAAGAAGGAGAUUGAAUUUCUCGAGCUGAAACAAGGGAACAAGUCGCUUGUUGAGUAUGCUGCUAAGUUUGUUGAGUUGGCCAAGUUCUAUCCGCAUUAUAGUGAAGCGACUGCUGAAUUUUCAAAGUGUGUCAAGUUUGAGAAUGGUUUGCGCUUUGAAAUCAAGAAAGCGGUUGGCUACCAAAAGAUCUGUGUCUUUGCGGAUUUGAUUGAUUGUUGUCGUAUUUAUGAGGAGGAUAGUAAUGCUCAUUAUAAGAUGGUUAAUGAGAGGAUGGGCAAGGGUCAACAGAACCGUGGCAAACCUUAUGAUGGUCCAGUUGGGAAAGGUAAGCAGAAAGCUGAUGAGGGCAAGAUGACUAGUGGAGGAGAUACUCCUAUUGGUAUUGUGUGCUUCAUACUUUUGAAGUCAAGAGGUGUUUUCGUUGUAGUAAGCUGGGACAUGUAGUGUCUGAGUGCAGGCAUAAGGAGGUGAUUUGCUUCAAAUGUGGUGAAGAGAGGCACAUUGGUAGUCAGUGUCAGAAACCAAAGAAGGAACAAGCUGGUGGAAAGGUGUUCGCCUUGUCGGGGACUCAGACCACUAGUGAGGACAGACUCAUCAGAGGUUGGGUCUUAUGUUGUCUUCUAUGAAUGGAGAGAUGGUCGUCGAUACACCGGCUAAGGGAUCGGUGACUACUUCCCUUGUGUGCUUAAAGUGUCCCUUGUCGAUUUUUGACAGAGACUUUGUUGUUGAUCUUGUUUGCUUACCGUUAAGAGGAUUGGAUGUGAUCUUAGGUAUGAACUAGUUAGAGCAUAACUAGUGGAGGAGCCAAGACCUUAGGUAAGGGGGUGCAAAAAUAAAUAAAUUUGGACUAGGUACAUUUGUGGUGCUAGUUAAAAAAUUUAGGGGUUCAAAGUGCAAUUUCUAUAGACAGAACCCAAGAUUCGAGGGUGUAAAAGUAAAUAAAUUCAAGAUCAAGUGAACAAAUGGUGUAAAUAAUUUUUUCAGGGGGUUCAAAGUGCAAUUUAUAUAAACAUUUAGGUGCAAUAUUUAAAUUGAACCCCUCAAAGGGGCUUCCUCCGCCACCGGAGGCUUCCUUUCACAAAACAUGUUGCGGUUAUCAAGAGUCGCCACCGACUUUUAUUUUAUCCAAUUUUAUUAGGAAAGGCAUAAAAGAACAAGAAAGACCUUUUUAAAGAUUUUUGGUUUCGGGGAUUAAUUUAUACAAAUGGAAGGUAUUAGCAUCCUUUGUAUCCAUGGUUAUCCAUGAGCUCUUAAAUGCUUAACUCACUUUACUUGCCUUUUUUUUAAAAGUAGUGUGUGUUCAGAAAAUAUUUCGUAAGAAUUUAACUUUGUAAUGAUUCUUGCAUGAAUAUAUACAAAGUGUUUAUUUUUGAAAAUAUUUUUGGAAGUGUGAGAUAUUAAAAGUAUUUGUUUUUUGGGUUGUCAGCAAGCAUUUAAAAGUUACUUACCCCUAAUUUGUAAGGUCUUUGUUGUACUUAUCAUUUUCCUUGAGAGAUAGUACUAUCCAUACCAUUAGUUGGUCGGCAGUCCUAUCUAUUGGAUGUGGAUGGACAACAAAGGGUCAUCGAAUGGUCAUAGAAGGCAACAUGUAAGGAUACCUUAACAAUUCGAAGGGACUAUCAUCAUUUUUCUGUAGGGUCAUCGAGGGGCAAGAUCAUCUUUUCGUAGGCAACUCGAAGGGUCAUCGAGGGACUAUGAUCUUUAUAUCGAAGGGACUAUGAUGAUAUUAUUCGUAAGCGUCUUUUGCUAAAGUAUCCCUACGUUCGAGGGACAUGACCAAUAUUUGAUAAAAUUAAUUUUUUAUGUGUUUUUAUUAGUCCUAGUUUCAGAGCUAAUUUAAAAAAAAACUUUGGUCUAAUUAAUUAAAGAACAAAAAAUUUAUGUCAAAAUAAAUUAAUUAAGAAAAAAAUCCUAAUACUAAUUUUUUUUGAAUUUAUUUGAUUUUUUAUGUUAAUUAGAAUUAAUUAAGUUAAAUAAUGAAAUAAAACAAAUAAAUUAGAGAAUGAUAAUAAAGGUUAGAAAAAUCUCUUCUCUUCCAAGCAUUCUCCGACGUGGCACCUGCAAAAAUGAGUCAAAUAAAAAAUACCAACCACCUAGGUCGAUGUAAAAACAUCUAUUGAAUUCAAAAAUCAAGUUAUUUCAGCCUAAAAUUCAGUGUAUCAUACGAAUCGAAGCUUGUAGGUUCUUGAACCUCAACCAUGGUGUAUCAUGAUCUAAGCUUCAAAGCUUAAAUGUUGUACGUCAAACCUACUCUAAUCCAUAUCUUGAACACAACUAUACACACAAAAUCGAUUAAUAAAGCAUAACUUUAAAGAUCUAAAGCUGAGAAAUUUACCGAGUUGAUCUGAAUGGAUAUGUGCUUUCUGGGCUUGGUGAGGCUUUGUAUUUGCCUUAAAACUUUGAAAUUUUGAGAACUUUUGAGAGUGAUUCUUGCUACGAUUCUUUGUCCCCUCUCUUUUGUGUUGGUGAGACCGUCUAUUUAUAGGAGAGGAUGAAACACGAAAAGAAUCAAGGAGUUAUGGUGAGGAGUGAAUAUGUUGGGAACAUGUUUUCUAAGUUUCCUAAAAUGAGAGAUCUUUGUCCGAAGAGGUCACCACACGGUUUUGAUGACCAUGAUAGUGUAGAUCCUCAUGUUUAGUCCUUCUAGAAGCAUAAAGUAGGUGCCCACCAUCUCUAAUUAUUAUUUAUUUAAUCUAAUUUCAGCUUAUUUUGAAUCAUAUGAAUAAAAUCCAAGUUGAAUGAAAUAAACAUGAAAAUAAAUAAAAGGAUGGGUUUUGAGGUUCUUGAAUGAUCAGAUCUUUUCCUUGAGAAUUAGGCGCCCUCCAUCUCAUUUGUUAUUUAUUUAUUUAUUUCAUUUUAUUUUGAACUUAGUAAAUAAAAAAUCCAAAUAAAAAUUAAAUAAAAUGUAAAUAAACACAAAAAUGGAAAUGGAGGUCUCAGGACUCAUUAUGGGCAUGAGGAGACGAAUAUGGAUCCUCGGCAGCAUGUUAAAUGGCAGCCAAUUUGGCAGCCUAUUAAUAGCCCUUAGAUUCAUCAAACAUGUAAUUAUAAAAAUA